rnacentral:tRNA from 1 species
GGGCCCAUAGCUCAACUGGCAGAGCCACCGGCUCAUAACCGGAAGGUUCCUGGUCCGACCCCAGGUGGGCCCACCA